rnacentral:lncRNA from 1 species
CUGCUCCUUUUCAAUGCCAACAAGGGAAGGGCCGACGAGGAGAACAGGGUCCCUACACCAACAUGUUAGGUUUCCCUGGCUGCUCGGUAGUUCUCGGACCGCUGCCUAAUUUUCCUUGGUCUCGUAGGUAACUGGCGCAACCACUGUAACUUGAGACGGUGGACUGGAGGAAGGAUCAUGAGAACAACUACACAAUGUUAUGGAUGGACAGGAUGAUGGUAAGUAAUUCUUGAGUAUGAUAGCAUGUCAUCUAGCUCAACCAUGUUGACUUUGAAUAAAAUCUUGAGCUAUCUCAGUUUCUCCAUACCUUGCAAGACAUUUGGUGAGUACAUUUGAGAAACCAUACAAGGUUUCUCUGUAUUCACCUUCUAUCAUGCUGCCCUUUCACACUAUGAUCUUGUUUAGAUGCACACCGCUCACUUUUUAAGAAAAUGUGUGAUGUAAAUACUGGGGAUGUGGAUAUAUAAUGUAUGUAAAUGUGGCUGAAACAAAUUAUUGUAAAUUGCAGAAUGUUCUAUUGUUUCAUAAGGAUAAACCAGGAUAUUUUAUUUACCAUGUAUUAUUUGUCACCGAGUAAUGAUCUGGGGUUGUGUGUGUAGGGAGGGUGAAUCAGAUCUAGGAGCACAUUGACUACGAGGUUUGUCGACAUGACAAGUACCGUAUGUGUGUCUACUCGUCCAACCUGAUAAUUCUCCAUUUGGUCACCUUUGAUUGAUAUCCUCCAAAAUAGGAGGAGAUUCUGCUUUUGCUAAAUCUCCUUGUGUAUGUGCUUCUUGCACCUAUUGAUGCUACAAGUUAAGUAAUCAGAUGAGCCCUUCAUGUGUUGUAUGCAAGAUUCCAACAUGUUCUUCAUUUUGUUCUGAUGCAACAGUCAGCUGGAUGCGGGAGAAUCAAUGCACAUAAACUUGUUCUUUCUCUAUUUAAAAGCAUUGAAGAUCAUAAUAUUACGCACUAUCAAUUUGUUUUUUCUUGGCAAUCGGUAUUGCUAAUACCCCUUUCGGUCUUUAACAUUUGUUUUUUCUCGUGGACACAUGUAUGAACACUUCACCUGUCUUCAUUCUUUCUAGAUCUCAUAAGUAGUAAUUUCUUAAAGAUUGUAUAACCUGUAUACUUCACUUUAAUUCAUGUGUGACAACAGUAAAGGAAAUCAUCUGAUGAACUGUUCACGAUAUAAUUUUUUAUAGGCUUAGAUUUAAUUAAGGUCUAUCUAUUGUAGUUUAAGCUUGAACAUAUCAUUAGGGCUAGUUCUUGUGGUGUUUUUUGGGCUUCUAGAAUAAGUUGCCCCUUACCCAGCUUAUUUUAGAAGCCCAACCAUAUAGUGUCAAAAACACUCUUAUAUUAUGGGAUGGAGGGAGUAGGCUUCUAAGCAAAUAAUUUUCUAGAAUAAGCUAGGUAGGGGGCAACCUAUUCCAGUUUUUCUAGAAGGCAGCAAAAGAACUGGCCUUUAGUAAUUAGUAUGAUCUUCUGAUGUUGGAGUCUCGAGGUGGAGAGUUUACACAAUAUGAUAUAAUAUGAAUUUUAACUUACUAGUGUUCAAUAUUUCUAACCUGAUUUAUGGAAGAAACAAAAGCUAGGCCACACAGCCACAUAAAGUCCUCUAAAAUGUUCACUGCUUGCAUCCAUGUGACUUCCUUAUAUACACUAUCUGCAUUCUACUCUCAGCUUGCUGCAUUUUUCUUAUUUCAUGUUAUGCUUAAUUUGCUUCUAAUGUAUUGUCCCUCCCUAUGGCAGGACGAAACACUUCUUGGAAUUCUUAAAGAGGAAGUCAAUGGAGCCAUGCUGUUGUUGUGCAACAGGCUAUGUUUUUCGUAAUACCAUUUGUCUGGGCUGUGUAAUCUUAGUUUGUGUGUGCUGGGAUACUCAAAAAGCUAUCUAUCUAAUAUAAAUCUGUAUUAUGUUGUCUAGCCUCUGUAAUCUUAUUUUGUGUGUGCUGGGAUAUUAAAAAAGCUAUCUGUCUAAUUUAAAUAUGUGAUGUAUUCUUCACUUAACUUUACUUGUAGUACAGUUUCUAGUCUAAAAAUGCUAAACGACCUUUUUUGAGCUAAAAAAGGCUAAAUGGCCUAAUAAUACAUAAUGGAUCGGACAUGGGCUUUGG